AUUGAACGCUGGCGGAAUGCUUUACACAUGCAAGUCGGGCGGCAGCGCGGGGGCAACCCUGGCGGCGAGCGGCGAACGGGUGAGUAAUACAUCGGAACAUGUCCAGUCGUGGGGGAUAACCUGGCGAAAGCCAGGCUAAUACCGCAUGCGCUCGGGAGAGGAAAGCGGGGGACCGUAAGGCCUCGCGCGAUUGGGUUGGCCGAUGUCCGAUUAGCUAGUUGGUGGGGUAAAGGCCUACCAAGGCGAUGAUCGGUAGCUGGUCUGAGAGGAUGAUCAGCCACACUGGGACUGAGACACGGCCCAGACUCCUACGGGAGGCAGCAGUGGGGAAUUUUGGACAAUGGGGGAAACCCUGAUUCAGCCAUUCCGCGUGAGUGAAGAAGGCCUUCGGGUUGUAAAGCUCUUUUGUCCGGAGCGAAACGGGUAACGUGAAUAUCGUUGCCUACUGACGGUACCGGAAGAAUAAGCACCGGCUAACUACGUGCCAGCAGCCGCCGUAAUAC
rnacentral:rRNA from 1 species